UGAAGAACGCAGCGAUAGAAGCUGUUCCAAUGAUCACCAUAAUCACAAGAUAGAAAUCAGAAGAAAAUUGUGGAGAAAUGAAUGUACGAAUACUUAAAAACCCCAAACUCAACUAGGUUCAAAAGGGAAGUUCGAGGUUUCUACAACAAUGUUAAAGCUAGUAUCUUUUUUCUACUUAGUUCCAGGAAGAACAUAUAGUAAUGAUUUAAGGCAUAUUGCUGAUAGAGCUAACCUGAAGAAAUAAUGAGUGCUUGAG